GGUGCGUAAAUGGUAUUUAAAGGGGUCAGAAAGUAUGUAGAAAGGGUGUAAAAAGAGUGCUGAAAAAGUUUAGUAAGGGUGUAAGAAGAUUAAGAAAGAUGUAGAAAUCGUGUACAAUGUGUGUAUAAAGUGAGUCCAAAGGGUUUACAAAUGUUGUAUAAAGGGUGUAUAAAGGAUGUACAAAAGGUGUAAAAAGGAUGUACAAAGGGUGUAGACCCAUUCUAUCUCUUUUUAAAAAAGAU
rnacentral:lncRNA from 1 species